GAUGAAGAACGCAGCGAAAUGCGAUAAGUAAUGUGAAUUGCAGAAUUCAGUGAAUCAUCGAAUCUUUGAACGCACAUUGCGCCCGCCAGUAUUCUGGCGGGCAUGCCUGUUCGAGCGUCAUUACAACCCUCAGGCCCCCGGGCCUGGCGUUGGGGAUCGGCGGAGCCCCCCGUGGGCACACGCCGUCCCCCAAAUACAGUGGCGGUCCCGCCGCAGCUUCCAUCGCGUAGUAGCUAACACCUCGCGACUGGAGAGCGGCGCGGCCACGCCGUAAAACACCCAACUCUUCUGAAGUUGAUCUCGAAUCAGGUAGGAAUACCCGCUGAACUUAAGCAUAUCAAUAAGCGGAGGA
rnacentral:misc_RNA from 1 species